UACGUAGGGUGCGAGCGUUAAUCGGAAUUACUGGGCGUAAAGCGUGCGCAGGCGGUUGUGCAAGACAGAUGUGAAAUCCCCCGGGCUCAACCUGGGAACUGCAUUUGUGACUGCACGGCUAGAGUGUGUCAGAGGGGGGUAGAAUUCCACGUGUAGCAGUGAAAUGCGUAGAUAUGUGGAGGAAUACCGAUGGCGAAGGCAGCCCCCUGGGAUAACACUGACGCUCAUGCCACGAAAGCGUGGGGAGCAAACAGG
rnacentral:rRNA from 1 species